rnacentral:lncRNA from 1 species
GAUAGAAAGGCAGAUUGAAUGUGAAUAAUGGUGGGAGUCUCCAGGUUGCAGAUGAAGCAUCGGUGUGUUUCAAUUUCAUCUCAAGUUCAUCAUGGUUGAAACACACAAGACACAUCUCACCAAUUUUGAAUGCCAGAGCAACACAAAGUUUCAACAACAACACUGAUUUAGACUGUUAUUUGUUUGAUUUCUUCAAUUUCAUCUCAUCAAUCCGACCACCUGCUUAGGUUUUCCUCAACUCUUCUGCUGUACAGAGUCAUCACCGGCAGGUUUUGGCUGUUGAUUUUGCUCUCUAAGCAAGGGUUUGUUGUUGAGUAAUCCAAUAUGGAUUCAGAUUUCAGAAACAUGUAAGGGUGGGGCUACGGAUGUUUUACCACAACCACCACCUGUUCCAGAAGACCUCGUUCCAAUCAAAGCUGAGCCAGAAGCCAAGAAGAAGGUCAUGCGUGUACCCAUGGCUAGGACGGACUCCAACGACCUGAAACAUCAAAUCAUAUAUUGGUUUCUUGUGAUGUAGCGAGAACCAUUUGGUUUGUCGUAGCAUCUUUGAUAGCCAUCUUCCCAGCCAACGGUCACUAGCGAUGGAUAGGAGAACCAGUGGGUUAAAUCUGACUGGAAGCAAGAUGAGAACAUUGCUGGGAAGUGGAAUUAUUAAUUAUACAUCUGGCAAAUGGAAUACGAAUGCGAAAAUAUAUUACAAAAAUGAUUUUUUAAGGUGUUUGUUUAUAUAUGGUCAGUGUUGAUUAUUUUUUUAAUCUAUUUGUUUAUUUUUGCAGUCAUUUUUAGUGAUGCUAAGGCACAAGAAGCGUGUUGGGUAAACAGGAAAUGACACUGAAACUCAAAGCUCUGGAAAUAUUGGUCAAGAUCAACUGCCCAAAUGCUACUCAGAGUUCUUAUUAAUGAUUGCAGCCCAUCUAUAUCAAUAGAUAACAUCAGGCUUAAUAAAUGAGUGAUCUUUAGCAUCUUGUUGAAGUUGUUUGGUGGGAAAACCAAAAAGGACCAAACUCAGGCUUCUCUUUCUAUGUAUAGUUAAAGGUCGUGGUUACGUGGUUACGGCUGGUGGGCCGGGUAACAUGUAGAAAUGGCCACUUUGGUUAAUUUGAUUAAAAAAAUAGUAGUAUGGAUAAUGGUGCCCCCUUCACCCUUAGUCUUUGGGCUCAUAAUUGUGUGACCUUAGCUUUUCUUUUAAGUAUUUUUUGAUUUCACAUGUUUGAUAUAAAAGAGAAAAGAGAACAGUUGG